AAAUUCCCGCCUCGGAAAGGGGAACGAGCCGCCCCACCGAGAAUCGAGCCUUGGGCUCAUGGAGGUAACGACAUGAGUUAAGCGUAGGCACGAGCGACGAGCGGGCCGUAACGCAAGUGAAGCGAUUGAGCCUCGUGAUGAUAGUAACCCGCAGGCCGACAGCGUCAUAUUGGCUGGAAGGCAAUAGUAGGUCACCGCAAGAGGCGAUGGUGACCGGAGACUGCGGCGGGGUCGGAGAGCA
rnacentral:ncRNA from 1 species